rnacentral:rRNA from 1 species
GAUGAACGCUGGCGGCGUGCCUAAUACAUGCAAGUCGAGCGAACGGACGAGAAGCUUGCUUCUCUUAUGUUAGCGGCGGACGGGUGAGUAACACGUGGAUAACCUACCUAUCAGACUGGGAUAACUUCGGGAAACCGGAGCUAAUACCGGAUAAUAUUUUGAACCUCAUGGUUCAAAAGUUAAAGACGGUCUUGCUGUCACUUCUAGAUGGAUCCGCGCUGCAUUAGCUAGUUGGUAAGGUAACGGCUUACCAAGGCAACGAUGCAUAGCCGACCUGAGAGGGUGAUCGGCCACACUGGAACUGAGACACGGUCCAGACUCCUACGGGAGGCAGCAGUAGGGAAUCUUCCGCAAUGGGCGAAAGCCUGACGGAGCAACGCCGCGUGAGUGAUGAAGGUCUUCGGAUCGUAAAACUCUGUUAUUAGGGAAGAACAUAUGUGUAAGUAACUGUGCACAUCUUGACGGUACCUAAUCAGAAAGCCACGGCUAACUACGUG